rfam:Arabis alpina cultivar Pajares Aa.chr2_contig_2527, whole genome shotgun sequence.
GAUUAUGGUGAUGUUAAAACUUAAUAACUUUCGUUCUCCUGAGCUCUUAUGUGCUGAAAAAAUUAUUGGAGACCUGAACUGAAGAUUU